rnacentral:rRNA from 1 species
CCUACGGGAGGCAGCAGUGGGGAAUAUUGCGCAAUGGGCGAAAGCCUGACGCAGCGACGCCGCGUGAGGGAUGAAGGUCUUCGGAUCGUAAACCUCUGUCAGCAGGGAAGAACGGUCACUGUGCUAAUCAGCAGUGAAUUGACGGUACCUGCAAAGGAAGCACCGGCUAACACCGUGCCAGCAGCCGCGGUAAUACGGAGGGUGCGAGCGUUAAUCGGAAUUACUGGGCGUAAAGCGCUCGUAGGCGGUAUGUCAAGUCAAGGGUGAAAUCCCCGCGCUCAACGUGGGAACUGCCUUUGAAACGGGCAAACGGGACUGUGUGAGAGGAUAGUGGAAUUCCAGGUGUAGGAGUGAACUCCGUAGAUAUCUGGAGGAACAUCAGUGGCGAAGGCGACUAUCUGGCACAUAACUGACGCUGAGGAGCGAAAGCGUGGGUAGCAAACAGGAUUAGAUACCCGGGUAGUC